rnacentral:lncRNA from 1 species
ACACUUAUUUUGGGACAGAGGGAGUAUUUAGGAACGGUGGGAGUAGAAUUUAACGAUGAAUUAUAAUUGGAACUUUGAAAGUGAUUAGCUCGCUCCAGAUAGUACCUUCCAUACAAUUUAAUUUAUUAUGGAGUGCCUGUUGUAGUAAAUAAAUCUGAUCACUUUCUUCUUCUGUGUCUGAUCUCUGAUGUCUGAUCAACGAUAAGUUAGUGUCCUGAUACAAAUGCUAUUGAACCUGCCAUAUCAUUCCUCUGGAGAAUGGAGUACUUUCGGGAAUGAAGUUAUUCAUGCAUCAGGCCUUCUAUAUCUUCUCAUUUAUUAUUUGAACUGCUAUGCCCAUUCUAUAACUCGUUAAGUUAAGGGUUCCUAUAAUGUUUCCAUAAGUGUUGAUUGGUUAAGUUCACGUUGUUCUUACUAAACACUAACCUAUUGCUGCUGGGCUUUAAUGUACAGGGUGGUUUAUUUCUUGUUGGACUUUCUUCUUUUGUGUCUGAUCAACUAUAAGUUAGUGUCCUGAUACGAAUACUAUUGAACCUGCCAUUUCAUUCCUUUGGAGAAUGGAUACUUUUGGGAAUGAAGUUACCCAUGCAUCAAGCCUAUUAUAUCUGUUCAUUUAUUAUUUGAACUGCUAUGCCCACUGUUUAAGUCAGGGGUUUCUAGAAUGUUUCUGUAAGUGUUGAUUGGCUAAGUUCACGUUGUGCUUACUAAACACCAACUUAUUGCUGCUGGGCUUUAACGUACAGGGUGAUUUAUUUCUUGUUAGCAUGAAGUUCAAGUGAGAUUUUAGCACAAUUCAAGUUACUUUUUUUUUACACCCCAGGUUGUCUUGCACAAGUACAUAUACGUGCUUUUACAAAUAAAAAAAUAAAUCAGAAUCUCGAAUGAGUUGUCCCCUGAAGGGGUAGUGAACUUUGUAAAUGUGAUUAGGGCAUCCAAAAUCGGAAUCUCUGAAUAGCAUUAUAGAAGUUGACCUCCAUAUCAUGCACUGUUUAUGUUCAGUAGAAAGCAUUAUUUAAGUUGAAGUGUUGUGUUGUGUUUUAGGUUGAUGCACUUCUCCUGCUUUUCUGUGUAGACUGGAAAGUGGAAUUUUCACUUGCUGAAGUUUCAGACUUCUAAAUUUGCAGGUUUUGGGUCACUACAGGGAAUCCAUUACCCCCUCUAAAAUUCAUGUCAUCUGGUGUUGCAAAUGAUGGGUGAGUAUAAGAUGAAACCUUGUUACUAGUCACCAGUAUGUAUACCAUUAUACAUGAUGUUUUACUUCCCUCUUUCUGAAAGAAAACAAUUGGAAAGAGUUAAAAAGCACGGAUAUGGAGACAUAGACAUGGCGAUAUGCAUACGGGGGCAUGGGAUGUGGCAUUUUCCAAAAACAGUCAAUCGGGGAUACGGCGAGCAUACAUACAAUUUUUUUAAAUAUGCCAUAUAAAUGAGUUAAAACAAAAAAUUAAUGAGAAACUGAGAUGACAUCAGAAUACUGCCCCAUUUGUUGUCUCCCUUUUCAAGUGUUCAGUGAUUAAAUUAAUUGUUCCUCCAGACCUGUGUCAUUGCGAUUGCAACUUGUAAAAUACAUCAAAAGCUAGUAUUAGAGACCGAAGAGUCAGGAUGUAAAUGGCAAUGGGUUUCACUAGUCCCAUGUAUGCCAUCCACAUAAAACAGUCUAAAUGG